GCCUACGGCCAGACCACCCUCAACGCGCCUGGUCUCGUCUGACCUCGGAAGCUAAGCAGGGUCGGGCCUGGUUAGUACUUGGAUGGCAGAAACCAUGAGCUCAAGCUA
rnacentral:rRNA from 1 species